CUGAUACUCUCCUUAGUAUCACCUUGGGCAACCCUUUUCGGGAAAACUUCAUUAAGUAGACGUUGUCCUGGAAUGUGUGAGUGCUCCUGGCUGAGAAUGGGGUUUGAAGAACAGAAACAAGUACCCGGAGCCAAGAAGAAAGUCUGAAUCCAGGAGGUCCCGAGCACAUAUGCGCACAUAUGCAAUCACCAGAUAAAGCAGGCAAGGGUUUCUUUUUUCCUGUGGAAGCAUCGCAAAAAAGUUCAACUUCUCAGGUGUCCUUUAAUGGUUGGUGCUCCUGCUCAUAUCACACCAGGUUACAGGAAUUUUAGGAUUUUUGGAACGGCCUUUUCUACCUCCCUCAGGAUGAUUCCAGCAUGCUACAGAAGAGCCUGAGAACUAAGGUCCCGAAUCUGUUAAAAUGUGAGUAUCCUGGGGAUGGUUGUCAGCCAACACCCUAGCACCCAUAGCAUCCUGACAACAAUUAAAAUGUUUUCUAAUGACAUGAAAGAGAUUUUGAUAAGAUCUGGAAUUAUUGCUUAUGGCCUUGGUGUGAACUCACUUACCACGCCCUGUGCUGUAAAUAGGCUUUAAGGGAGAGAUAGAAGAUACCCAAAGGUGAGAGUCUGAGAAUAAAGUGGGAAUGUUGAGACAAUCUUCCUAUUCACUAUGUUGGGAGAACACGGACACACUCCAUAUAUCUUGUUAGAGUUAUUAGGAUUAGUGAAAGUGACUUUCUUUCAUAAAGCUUUACUGGGAUCCAGUGCCAACACAUUUUAAAAAAUAGAGUUUUACUUUCUCUUUCCCUGGUUGGUGUUUUUGCCUUGACUAACUUCUACCUGAAGCACCUAAAGCACUCAGUAUUAAUAGCUCCUUGAAGAAAAACCAGAGAAUUUGGUUACAGGAUCUUCCUUUCUUCUCCAGCAGGUCUAGUCUCUACUGUCAACCACUGACCCAGAGGUGCUUAAAACCAGAAUCCAAUAUGUGCAUUCGCUCAUCAUUUAAAAUCUUUCUGCUCUACAAGGGAGAAACAUUUUUCUCUCGUAGCCUUAUUAACUGCAGAAAAGAGCAUUUUUAUUCUUAAUUUAUGUUCUGAAAGCAUGUCAGCUUUUGUGUCUGUCAUUUAGAAGCUAUGAUUCACAAACAUGGGUGAGUUCAUUAGCUGCCAAGGCUCAGGUGACUGUUGGGGUGGCCCUUGGUUUGAUGUAAAAGCACAAGUGCCCAUAAUAUCCUGAGAGCCAGCAGAAUGUUUUUAAGCUGCAUAAAAGAGAUUUUGAUAUGAUCUGGAAUUCUUUGGCUAACUGGAGGCCAAAUUGCAUUCAAUGUCUUAAAAGCCAGUAUAAAUGAUUACAGAACAUCCAUUUCUUUAGCAGAUGGUCAUUUGUUUUCACUUUCUGCUUAAUUUAAUGUAAAUAUUCAGAUUGACCUUUGUUUUUCCACAGUCUUACAGAUUGUUCUUGAAAUAUCAUGUCAGAGAAUCUGGCUUAUAGGGUAGCUUUUUAGAACAGUAAUUCUUGCUUUUAAAGGAUCUCAAUUUUAUUACAAAAAUGUAAGAUCACCUUAUAUUGAUUUAACUCUACAUCAGUGAUCACUGAUGAAAAAUAUAAAAUUUGUAAGAGUAAAGGCCACAUUACAUGUAAUCAUGGAAAAGAAGCAGUGAUUGAUGGCGGAAAUGCACAAUGAUCUUCCUUUCAUGGAUAUUGUUUUGCGAAAUUUUGAACUAGAAAUAAAUUAAUGGUUUGGCUUUACCUUUUCUGAUUGGGGGAAUAUUCAUUACAAACUCGUCAGAAUAAAGAGGAAAAAUGUUUUUCUACCUACCAUGUACUUUCUUCAGUUCAGCUAAAGAAUUGACCUAGUUAUCCUUUUGGCUUAGCUGUAGCUGGGGAGGUAGUGCACUUUUUCUUUCAGAGAGUCUUGACUUGUUGGGAAAUAUAGAUGUCCAUUAAUUGAGCUUGGUUCAAAUGUAGAAACCCACUUGAUAAGACCCAUGAUAGUUGACAUACAACCUCUGCUUGCAUACGGUCAGUAAUAUUGAAUUAUUUACUUUUCAAGGAAAUCCAUUUUAUUUUUAAUAACUCUUACUGUAGAAUAUUCUUCUUUUUAAAAUCAAACUUAAAACUGCUUCUCUGUAACUUCCAACCUUUGCAUUUGGUUCUGCUUUCUGGAACAUCAUUGAAUAAACUGAAUUUCACAUGGAG
rnacentral:lncRNA from 1 species